rnacentral:rRNA from 1 species
CCGGCACGGGUGAGUAACACGUAUGCAAUCCACCUGUAACAGGGGGAGUAACCCGGAGAAAUCCGGACUAAUACCCCAUAAUAUGGGCGCUCCGCAUGGAGAGCCCAUUAAAGAGAGCAAUUUUGGUUACAGACGAGCAUGCGCUCCAUUAGCCAGUUGGCGGGGUAACGGCCCACCAAAGCGACGAUGGAUAGGGGUUCUGAGAGGAAGGUCCCCCACAUUGGAACUGAGACACGGUCCAA